ACUACACUAAACAUUAUUAAAAUGGAAGUCAAUUUUUAUCAUGAUACUUAAUGUCAUACAGUUCGAAUCUCUUAGCAGUUAACACAGGAGACAACGUUAUGCCCCCUAUUAGCCUUGUCAAUUCAUA